rnacentral:rRNA from 1 species
UUUUACAAUGGAGAGUUUGAUCCUGGCUCAGGAUGAACGCUAGCUACAGGCUUAACACAUGCAAGUCGAGGGGAAACGACAUCGAAAGCUUGCUUUUGGUGGGCGUCGACCGGCGCACGGGUGAGUAACGCGUAUCCAACCUGCCCACCACUUGGGGAUAACCUUGCGAAAGUAAGACUAAUACCCAAUGAUAUCUCUAGAAGACAUCUGAAAGAGAUUAAAGAUUUAUCGGUGAUGGAUGGGGAUGCGUCUGAUUAGCUUGUUGGCGGGGUAACGGCCCACCAAGGCAACGAUCAGUAGGGGUUCUGAGAGGAAGGUCCCCCACAUUGGAACUGAGACACGGUCCAAACUCCUACGGGAGGCAGCAGUGAGGAAUAUUGGUCAAUGGACGAGAGUCUGAACCAGCCAAGUAGCGUGCAGGAAGACGGCCCUAUGGGUUGUAAACUGCUUUUAUAAGGGAAUAAAGU